rnacentral:lncRNA from 1 species
GGAUUUUUAUAUAAAGAGGGCCAAAACUAUAGUUUUGUUAAUUCAGAUUUAUUCAAUAAAAUUCAUUACUCGGAAAACUUUGUUUCUUUUAUCAAUCAACUUGAAACUAUUUUAUUUUUUCUUACUAGUUCUUUCUUCUUUAAUUAAACCUCAUACAACAUAUCUAGUCAUUAUUCAUAUGAAGUAUGCAUCAAAUAAAAUCUCUUACAACACAUAAAUUUAAGAACCAUUUAUUUGGACACACUUGUGUGGUGAACCAAUUUUGUCUUUGCAGCAUCAUUUACUCAAGGGCAACCAACAGCACCACCAUGCCAAAAAUGAAUGCACGGCGCGGGCUUUACUGGACCAGGUUGCGCCUUCAGUGCUUCUGUGACUGCCUCCGCUGGACGUAUAUGUGAAGCAACAUGUCAUAUCUUUUUUUUAAUUAACCUCAAUGCAAUGACAAAAUUCUACUAAAGGAAAAAAUAAAACAUAAGAUGCUAUGGGUAAUGAAAUAUAUAUAUAUAUCCCUAGUUUAGGGGAAAAAAAUAAAAAAACAAUCAUAUUAGUUCGAGAACUUUAUGUUCAUGUAUACUCUUGUCUUCUUCCGACUUUAAUUUCUAGGGUAAUAAGUUUUCCUAUGAUUACCAUACAAUGAUAUAUAUAUAUAAUAGGCGAUAUUGUUGACAUUAUGAUGAAUAAUGAUGUCAAGUGGCAUAUAAUUUUACAAUAAAUGAAUCUCUUACUUUAAUAAUUUAACAGGCAAAAUAAAAAAAUUAAUAUAUUACAGGAUAAAAUACAUUAUAUUGAAUAAUAAUUAAUGAACUAAAAGAUUAAAAAAAUAAAUAUACUAUCCAAAAAUUUCAUUAUUUUUUAAAAAUUUUUUAAAUUAAUUCACUUCUUCAAUAUUAUUCACGAUAAAUAUUACGUAGUACGAAAUUUUUGUAAGCCAUCGGUCACCACCAUAUAACGACCAACACAGCUUAUAAAUUGGCUUUGCUGGAAGAAAUUAAUCUAAUUGUUAUGUUAUAUAUAAGAUGACCCAAAUUAAUGCAGAAACCAAGACGCUCACCUUUUCGCGUUGCAGCGGAAGCCUCAGCCAGGUUUCUAGCAGCUGCCACCUUCGUAGAAGUAAGAAGAACAACAAUAGUGAUUACAAGACUUUAAAGAAGGAAAAUCUUAGAGCCCAAUCCCAUUUUCGGUAUGCCAAAAAUAAAGGAAGUAAGAGGAAAUUAAUAUCAAUAAACGAGUAUUAAUUGAAGAUGGAAAGGAUGAAUGGAUGAUAAAUUAGUGUUCUCUUGAAUGUAUAUUAUUUAUAGUAGUUGGGAUUUGGGAGUUAGCGGUCCGAGGAAGGCACUGAGAAGUUAAUGCUCGUCUGAGACUAAGAAUUUUCUACAAGCAGAAAGCACAUUUUUAUUUCUUUGCGGGGUCCUUCAUUGCUCUGCAAAUAA